rnacentral:rRNA from 1 species
UACGUAGGGGGCUAGCGUUGCUCGGAAUCACUGGGCGUAAAGCGCACGUAGGCGGAUUGCUAAGUCAGGUGUGAAAUCCUGGAGCUCAACUCCAGAACUGCCUUUGAUACUGGCGAUCUCGAGUCCGGGAGAGGUGAGUGGAACUGCGAGUGUAGAGGUGAAAUGCGUAGAUAUUCGCAAGAACACCAGUGGCGAAGGCAGCUCGCUGGCACGGUACUGACGCUGAGGUGCGAAAGCGUGGGGAGCAAACAGG